rnacentral:rRNA from 1 species
UACGUAGGGUGCAAGCGUUGUCCGGAAUUAUUGGGCGUAAAGAGCUCGUAGGCGGUCUGUCGCGUCGGCUGUGAAAACUCGGGGCUCAACCCCGAGCCUGCAGUCGAUACGGGCAGACUAGAGUGCGGUAGGGGAGACUGGAAUUCCUGGUGUAGCGGUGAAAUGCGCAGAUAUCAGGAGGAACACCGGUGGCGAAGGCGGUUCUCUGGGCAUUACCUGACGCUGAGGAGCGAAAGUGUGGGGAGCGAACAGG